UUUAAAUAGGGCAUUAGAUUUUGAUUUGCUGUGAAGGACACAAUUAUUUGAGCACGGAAGGCAACAAAGGUGCAUGAUCUCAUGAAGAGGGCAUUCUUUUAUGUGAGGCUUGGUACAGACGUCUUGUCAUCCCUGCUGUCUGCGCUACUCAACUGAAUGUCGGCGUGGACGCUGGCGCAUUCCAGGGGGUGCAUUUGAGCAGCGACAGUCAUCUUGGCGAUUCAGGGUCACAACCAUUGCCGGGAGAAAGUCAACGAGAAGUGGAGACAUGCAUGAUCCAAGUGAUGAUGCAUGAAUGUUUACUAACGCUGAAAUUUGCUAUAGCAGCAGUAGAUUGACAGAGAAAACCAAG